rnacentral:rRNA from 1 species
GUGUCAGCAGCCGCGGUAAUACGAAGGGGGCUAGCGUUGUUCGGAUUUACUGGGCGUAAAGCGCACGCAGGCGGCUUAUCAAGUCAGAGGUGAAAUCCCGGGGCUCAACCUCGGAACUGCCUUUGAAACUGGUAAGCUAGAGUUCGGGAGAGGAUAGUGGAAUUCCUAGUGUAGCAGUGAAAUGCGUAGAUAUUAGGAGGAACACCGAUGGCGAAGGCAGCUAUCUGGCCCGAUACUGACGCUCAUGUGCGAAAGCGUGGGGAGCAAACAGGAUUAGAAACCCGCGUAGUCC